AAACCGCGAUAGGUCAUCACUUCUGGAAUGGGUGAUGACUUAAACCUAUAUGGCCCCUGGAUUGGACUGCGGCCGAUCAGGCUGUUGGUGAGGUAAUGGCCCACCAAACCUGUAACCGGUACGGGCUCUGAGAGGAGGAGCCCGGAGAUGGGCACUGAGACAAGGGCCCAGGCCCUAUGGGGCGCAGCAGGCGCGAAACCUCUGCAAUAGGCGAAAGCUUGACAGGGUUACUUUGAGUGAUUUCCGUUAAGGAGACCUUUUGGCACCUCUAAAAAUGGUGCAGAAUAAGGGGUGGGCAAGUCUGGUGUCAGCCGCCGCGGUAAUACCAGCACCCCGAGUGGUCGGGACGUUUAUUGGGCCUAAAGCAUCCGUAGCCGGUUCUACAAGUCUUCCGUUGAAUCCACCUGCUUAACAGAUGGGCUGCGGAAGAUACUAUAGAGCUAGGAGGCGGGAGAGGCAAGCGGUACUCGAUGGGUAGGGGUAAAAUCCGUUGAUCCAUUGAAGACCACCAGUGGCGAAGGCGGCUUGCCAGAACGCGCUCGACGGUGAGGGAUGAAAGCUGGGGGAGCAAACCGGAUUAGAUACCCGGGUAGUCCCAGCUGUAAACGAUGCAGACUCGGUGAUGAAUUGGCUUAUUGCUAAUUCAGUGCCGCAGGGAAGCCG
rnacentral:rRNA from 1 species